GACGAACGCUGGCGGCGUGCUUAACACAUGCAAGUCGAACGGUGAAGCGCCUUCCUUUUUGGUGGGUGUGGAUGAGUGGCGAACGGGUGAGUAACACGUGAGUAACCUGCCCCCUUCUUCUGGAUAACCGCAUGAAAGUGUGGCUAAUACGGGAUAUUCUGGGUCUGUCGCAUGAUGGGUCUGGGAAAGAUAUUGUUUCGGUGGGGGAUGGGCUCGCGGCCUAUCAGCUUGUUGGUGGGGUGAUGGCCUACCAAGGCGGUGACGGGUAGCCGGCCUGAGAGGGUGGACGGUCACACUGGGACUGAGACACGGCCCAGACUCCUACGAGAGGCAGCAGUGGGGAAUAUUGCACAAUGGGCGCAAGCCUGAUGCAGCGACGCCGCGUGAGGGAUGGAGGCCUUCGGGUUGUGAACCUCUUUCGCCAGUGAAGCAGGCCUGCCUCGUUUGUGGGUGGGUUGACGGUAGCUGGAUAAGAAGCGCCGGCUAACUACGUG
rnacentral:rRNA from 1 species